rnacentral:sRNA from 1 species
CUCCCUCCGGAUGAUUUGAUCGUCUCUGAGCGUUUCAACAAGUUGUCAUCCCUUGAAGGACCUAUAUCAGACGAGCUAUGCCGCCAACUCCCGAAGAAUGCAGCAUUCCAUGAUCCCCGUGAUGACGUGGCUCUCAAACGGGCUGAGCUAGAGCCGCCGUUAUCUUCCCUCACCACCUUCAACGGAUUCUCUAGUGCUUUUAGAAUAUAUUUCAUCGGCGGCCGUUUAGAAGACCUAGGAUUCAAGCAGGACUUUGCAACAAUUGCCAUUGCCCAGACUUCCUCCAGAUGGUCCUCAUCAAUUAUAAGUGAUGGAUCAAUGAUCUUGCUCAUGAGCUCUUUCUCAUAAAUAUUAAUGUAGCGCAGAGUGUGAUCAAGCCACUCAUUCGUUGCAGCAUCAUUUGAUGCACUGAUACCUAGCCUUCCAGUCACCAGCUCCAACAAAACUUUUCCAAAGCAAUAGACAUCAUAUGAACAUGAUGCAGAUGGAGAACCUGGUUAAAUUAGAGUUAAAACUUACGAUGAAAAUCUCAACAGCUUUGUGAUGACAUUUUGGUGGCCUUCCCCUUCUUGAGGACACACCUCGCUCAAACUCCCAAGGCGCACAUCAAAUUUAUCAUCAAGAAGAAUACUGCUAGCUUGCACUUUAUACCUGUGAACCAUUGGUGGAUUACACUCGUGGUGGAGAUAGCAUAGUGCCUCUGCCACUCCUGUUGCAAUUUUCAGCCUCUUUAUCCAGUCCAAAGAUUGCAGGCCUUCCUCUUCCUCCCCUGACUUUCUGUGCAGUGCACUUGAUAAGUCGCCAUUCCGGACAAAUAUAUACACGAGAAAUUUCUCCUCCUCUUUAUCAAGGCAAUGCCCCAUGAUCGGCACCAGCCUUUCAUGCAAUCCUUUGGCAAAUAAAUCUAGCUCCGCCAUAUAAGCAUCUUUCUUAGCCAUGCUGGAAGUUAUCCUCUUCACAACCACAGAGGUCCCAUCAUGGAGCGCCCCAAGGUAAAGAUCACCUGAGUGACCAUGCUUGAUAAGCCUAUCAUCUCCAAAGUCCGUGGUGGCUUCGACGAGCUGGUCAUA